GACGAACGCUGGCGGCGUGCCUAACACAUGCAAGUCGAACGGAAAGGCCCUGCGUUUGUUGGGUUCUCGUGUGGCGAACGGGUGAGUAACACGUGAGUAACCUGCCCUUGACUUUGGGAUAACAUCAGGAAACUGGGGCUAUUACCGGAUAUGAGCUCCUGCUCCAUGGUGGGCGUUGGAAAGUUUCGGCGGUUGUGGAUGGAUUGGCUGCUUAUCAGCUUGUUGGUGGGGUAGGUGCGUACCAAGGCUUUGACGGGUAGCCUGCCUGGGAGGGGUAACGGGCACAAGAGUACUACGGGACGGAGCAGAAUGCAAUGGGAGGCAGCAGUGGAGAACCUGACGGAGCGGGGGCACGUGAGAGACGGAGACGUCGCGAUCGUGAUGACCGGCUUUUAGGGAUGAACAUAUGUGGACGGAGAUGAGGAGAGCGUGACGGUAACGAGUAAAGAAGCAACGGCUAACUACGUG
rnacentral:rRNA from 1 species